AUGCUGCACUUUUGGUGCAAAACCGUCAAAGAUGAACUCAACAAUCUCCGAGGCGACGGCACAACCAAAAAGUACGAGGAGUGGGACCGUGUGUACCGCUAUGACUACUACAACGACCUCGGUGAGCCGGACAAGGGCUAUCCGCGCCUGGUUCUCGGCGGCACCCAGGAACUCCCCUAUCCCCGUCUUGGCAGAACUGGCCGACCCCCAACAAAAACAGGUGAGUCCAGUGCAGUGUAUAUGUUUGUUCUUUUUCACAUGUUGACAACCAUGUCACCUUGCAAUUGGACUCAUAUCGGGGAUUUGAUCUUUUCGCCAGACCCUAGAUUGGAGAGCAGAAUUCCUCAGUACAAGAUACAGGAGGCCCUCAACAUCACUGUCUCGCGUGAUGGUAUUUAUGCAUCUUCCUAG
rnacentral:rRNA from 1 species